UGGAGAUUUGAAACUUAGGCUGCUAACUUGAGUUCGGGGGUAGUCCUCCAUCUUCAU
rnacentral:tRNA from 1 species